GCUCGCGUAGCUCAGUUGGUAGAGCGCUCGGCUGUUAACCGAAAGGUCGGUGGUUCGAACCCACCCGUGAGCG
rnacentral:tRNA from 1 species